rnacentral:rRNA from 1 species
GACGAACGCUGGCGGCGUGCCUAAUACAUGCAAGUAGAACGCUGAAGGAAGGAGCUUGCUCUUUCCGGAUGAGUUGCGAACGGGUGAGUAACGCGUAGGUAACCUGCCUGGUAGCGGGGGAUAACUAUUGGAAACGAUAGCUAAUACCGCAUAACAGUAGAUAUAGCAUGAUAUUUGCUUAAAAGGUGCAAUUGCACCACUACCAGAUGGACCUGCGUUGUAUUAGCUAGUUGGUGAGGUAACGGCUCACCAAGGCCACGAUACAUAGCCGACCUGAGAGGGUGAUCGGCCACACUGGGACUGAGACACGGCCCAGACUCCUACGGGAGGCAGCAGUAGGGAAUCUUCGGCAAUGGACGGAAGUCUGACCGAGCAACGCCGCGUGAGUGAAGAAGGUUUUCGGAUCGUAAAGCUCCGUUGUAAGAGAAGAACGAGUGUGAGAGUGGAAAGUUCACACUGUGACGGUAUCUUACCAGAAAGGACGGCU